AAUGCAACAAACGCUGCUUCCAAUUCCACGCUUACUUACCAAAAUCUGUGGCCAAACAAGCAGCACAUCUAGUUCUAUCUUGGACCCAUUGUAUUCCCAAAUAAAAACAAAACUCUAAUUCCAUCAUUCGCAUCACAACAGGUCUUCGAUGUCUGUUGGAAACUGAGUUGAAGUGACAUUGCUAACAUGAACCAUGUUUUAAAGGAU
rnacentral:lncRNA from 1 species